rfam:Picea glauca, whole genome shotgun sequence.
AGGUGAGAUCAUACCAACAUUAAUGCACCGAAUCCCAUCAAAACUCCACAGUUAGGCGCGCUUGGGAUAGAAUAGUACUGGGAUGGGUGACCUCCCGGGAAGUCCUAGUGUUGCACCCU